UCCAGGGAAGUUGGUAGAAGUGAAUGGAGUGGAGUCAGUCCUACAUCCUGAUAGCCCAGAGGGAUUGGAAUAACUGACUUCCUGAAGAGGAUUUGCCCACAGCCAAACAGAAUUAAGCUACAUGUCAAUAUGAAUCCAGGGCAGGAGGGAUCCUAAUCUAUAACUUCCUCCAGAGAGACAAGCCUUACUCCUGCCAAGGGGGGGUCAGCUGAUAGAACUGCCCCGAGGGUACGUGUGGGGAUAUUAUUUCUGGAAACUAAAGACUGAAGAGAAACUCAUCCUUCAGACAGACCUGCUCACUCCAGCCAGUCAUUUUUACCAACAGGGAUUGUCUUCGAAUCUGGAGUAAAGAACUAGGUUGCUGGAUGCCCAUUUAUUCCACUGCGGGGCAAGUUUCUUACAGGUUCUGGCCCCCUGGUUUCCAGCCUGGAGUCUGGAGGGACAUGAAGAAAGGCUGGAGUCUGCUGUAUGUGAUAUAUGCUAGCAAGGAGCUUGCUCGUGAAUCACCUUCGCCUCCAGUGCAGUGAAGCAGUGGGAUGGAAUGUUGAAAUGCCUCCUUUUACAUCCAUUUUCUGAGCACGCAGCGAGCCUUCUCCCGUUCAGGCUGCAAAUCAUCACACACACACACACACACACACACACACCUGCCCCCCUGCCAAGCAGGCAACACCUUGCAUGAGGCCCAAGGAACAGAGGCUUCCAGGGGAUGUCACUAAGAGCUCAAGGAAUGCCAAGCUGGGCUCUCCAGUUAUUCAUCCUCCCUGCAAUCAAAGCAGGCUCAGAGCAGACCCAUCCCUGUGACAGAUGUGGCUCAAGGUUAUGGCCAAGGUCAAGCCUGUUAUGUGUCCUUUAGUGGUGGGGGUGUGCAGAGAUUACUGCACAAGUUUGGACUUAAAGCUGAGAGAAUUCUUAGACACCAUCUAAUUCAGUCACCCUUCCCUUUGCAGAGGGGUAUUUGGAGGCUCAGAAACGUCAAGAGAUCUGGCCAAACUCACCUCACACAGCUAUGGCAUGGGUCAUAAAACUAGGGCUUGCUUUUUCCAAACCCACAGUUAAAAGAACUCUCAUCAUCCUCUGCUCUAUCUGGGCUUCUCUUUUGGCUCAGACGGUAAAGAAUCUGCCUGCGGUGACAGAGACACGGGCUUGAUCCCUGAGUCAAGAAAAUCCUCUGGAGAAGGGAAUGACCACCCACUCCAGUAUUCUUGCC